CAAACUUUCUUUAAUUGCAGGCUGAGCUGGAUGCUGAAUACAAAAGAGUGAGCCUCAACACUUAAGGUUUGUGCUGAGUUUCACCAUAUCAGAGAAAGUGGCACACACCAGCAAGAUUUCAUAGAUGUUGCAUGACAUUCUAAAUGUUUGAUCUUCAGUGUAUGUGUGUGAGGAGAACUGUUCUUCAGGACAUGAAAU